rnacentral:rRNA from 1 species
AAGCGGCAACAGCUCAAAUUUGAAAGCUAGCAUUCGGGUUCGCAUUGUAAUUUGUAGAGGAUGAUUUGGGGAAGCCGCCUGUCUAAGUUCCUUGGAACAGGACGUCAUAGAGGGUGAGAAUCCCGUAUGUGACAGGAAAUGGCACCCUAUGUAAAUCUCCUUCGACGAGUCGAGUUGUUUGGGAAUGCAGCUCUAAAUGGGAGGUAAAUUUCUUCUAAAGCUAAAUAUUGGCGAGAGACCGAUAGCGCACAAGUAGAGUGAUCGAAAGAUGAAAAGCACUUUGGAAAGAGAGUUAAAAAGCACGUGAAAUUGUUGAAAGGGAAGCGCUUGCAAUCAGACUUGUUUAAACUGUUCGGCCGGUCUUCUGACCGGUUUACUCAGUUUGGACAGGCCAGCAUCAGUUUCGGCGGCCGGAUAAAGGCUCUGGGAAUGUGGCCUCCACUUCGGUGGAGGUGUUAUAGCCCAGGGUGUAAUACGGCCAGCCGGGACUGAGGUCCG